UAGGAUGUUUGUUUUCCUUUUUAUUGAGAAUGAAGAGAAUUAAUUUUGAAGAAUUUUAGACAAGGCAGUGAAAAAAUUCUAACGGACAAUUCUGUUGAUAAGAAAUCAAACUUCAAAUCAUUUCAAGAUGGAUGUUUGUGGAAAGUUCUACCAUUUUAACCCAAAAUUAAAAAAAUUGGAUUGUUCUUUUACCGAGUGAUCAAUCUUCAAGGACACAAAAGUAGAAUUAACGAAAUGAAAUAUUCCUUUAAUCAAGCACAAAUGCUAUUUCGCCUGAACUACAGACUUAGUUUCCAACAUAGGUAACUGUUGCAGCCAUGGGCUCUUUUUCUACCUCACCCCCCACCCACCUCGAAGACAGAAAGAAAAUUCAGAAACUGUGGUACCUGAUCGACAUCUACUGGAAGCCAUCUCUUGAUUAUCUAUUUCGUCUUUCUGAGAGUCAACUUAACCCCUUCGACCUUCAUCACCCCACCCCCCACCCUCCAUUGCCUCACACCCUCUCAUCUCAAUUCCCCCCACUAUCUGUGACCCUCCCUGCCAUCAAAUGCUGAAGGUCCGAUGUUCAUUCUGUUUAGUUUUCCCCGGUUUGUUUCUGCCAUUCGAGGCUUAAGCCGUGCUGGGUUAAACUAAGCUCCAAGAAAUUUUUCACUA